GCCCACGUGGUGGAACGGUAGACACCGCAGACUUAAAAUUUGCUGCCUUCGGGCGUGCCGGUUCAAGUCCGGCCGUGGGUACUA
rnacentral:tRNA from 1 species